rnacentral:lncRNA from 1 species
GGAAGCAAGCCAGUAAUGAACAUCCCUCCAUGGCCUCUGCAUCAACUCUUGCUUUCUGACCUGCUUGAAUUCCAGUCCUGACUUCCUUUGGUGAUGAACAGCAAUGUGGAAGAAAAGUUGGAAUGGAUGGGACAUAAGUACCUUGAAGACAGAAGUAGAAAGAAGACAGAAUUGGAGGGAAAAAAAGAAGGAACUUCUAAAUAUCCUGCUGCCUAGUAGAAAAGUGGACUCAAGACACAGCCACUCCAGGCUUCUGUGCUCCACAAGAAGUGCUCCUUACUCAGUCCCAGGCCAUAUAGUGCAUGCAGGCCUGCAACCCCAGCAACUCUGGAAGUAGAAUCAAGAGCAUCACAAGUUCAGACACAACCAGGCCAUAUAGGGAGUACAAAGAAGGCUGAGAAACUUAGUAAGAACGUUGAAGAUCAAAAGGUAAAAUGAGGACUGAGAUUACAGUUCAGUGGUAAUUCUUGACACAUGCAAGGCCCUUAGUUCAAUUCCUGUACUAAAGGAAAUACUAUACUACUACUAAUAAUAAUUAAUAAAAUGAUGAUUAAAAAAAUACUCCACUUACUAACAAAAAGACUGGAAGAAGAGGAACUUUGGGGACCACUGCUAAAAUCAGACACAUGAAUAGCCUUGUCAGAGAGAUGGUCCUGCAUUAAAGUUUUCAACAAAAUGGAUACGGCUAAUAAAACUGCAGACAAGAAAUGGAACUCAAUUUUUACCUAAAAUAGCAGGAAUAACAUCAAUUAGAAAAUAGAGAAUCACAGUAAACCUCAUGAGUGUUCACCUUUGUAAACCACAGACAGACUCUGAAUCCUAAUGCCAGGACAGCUGACAGAGGCAGAAUGGACUCACAGAGAGGAAACAUCUCCACAAGCCAAAAAAUCCAAGCCCACUCUGCUAAAACACUGCAUCUUUGGUGCUCCUGACUCAAUCCAGGGCAGAUCUGGCUCUAAGCCUGUACAAUCCCCUACAAUAUUUUUGUGGACAGGAAAACAUAGAGGGUUCCAUUGCUGGACAGAAAAGAAGUCAGAGCUAUUUCUUACACUCUGAGCAUACUAUAAUCCUCUUUCAUCUUCCAUUUAGAAUCCUGGGCUCAUGUCCUAACACAGUUCACAGACUCAAAGUGUAAUAGAAUCAUAUUAGUCAAUCGUCAGCCUUCAACACUAUACUAUAAUCUCUUAAUUUCCUUUAUGGUUCAGAUAAAUUGCAAUUGUGUGAAGCAAAACAAUAUUGCCCACUUCUUAUAUUCAUAAAAAUAAACAAUUUAAUUCUUAUAGUGCCUAAAGCUUUCUCAACUAGCCAAAGAAAUUUUUCAUCACAAACUUUUUUUUCUACAUCAAAUCUCAGGCAUAGUUACAAGGGAAAAAGUUAAUAUACACUUGCUGUAUGUUUUCCAUUUGUCACACACUUAUUUUCCAUUAAUUGUAUUAAUUCCAUUUAAUUGUAUGAAAAUCUUUUUUAUAGAAUGCUUUGGAUUAUUAUUAUUAUUAUUAUUAUUAUUAUUAUUAUUACUAAACACAUUUAGUAAUGGAUAUAAAUAUCCACAUUUCAUCAUAUUAUUUUUUGCUUAAUAAAAUAUGUCUAUCCU